AUGGAGACACUAUUUGGAGCAAGGUCAGUUCUUCAUUAAAAUUGACCAUGAGAGUAUCAAGUGUCUCCUGGAGCAGAGGUUGCAUGCAAACCUUCAACAGAGGGGAAUUUCUAAGCUAAUUGGUAUGGAUUAUAAGAUUUUAUAUAGUAAGGGCAGUGAAAAUAAAGUGGUAGAUGCCUUAUCGAGGAGACCUGAUGAAUCUUAUUCUCCUGUUUUAUAGUUAGUGGUGGUGCCUACUUGGAUGCAACAAUUAAUUGCUAGCUAUGAAGGAGAUGAUAAAGCAAAGAAAUUAGUUCAGCAACUUUACUUGGAUGGUAAUGCUUCUGUUACAUAUAAGCUACAUAAUUGGGUGUUAUUUUAUAAAGAUAAGAUGUAUUUGGGGACUGCAACUUCCUAAUGGGAAACAUUGUUACAAUCUUAUCACAAUUAUGUUGUAGGGGGUUAUUCAGGAGCAUAGUUGCCAGAUUCUCCUAGUCCUCCUAGGUUCUGCCACCCAGAUCGUGCGUUCAAAAAUGUGAGACAUUUGCAUUCCAAAUCGCUUGAGAAUGUGUUCUGGGUCUCUAUCAAGCGAUCCCAUUUCACUAUACACAAA
rnacentral:misc_RNA from 1 species